GCCAGGCACAGUGGCACGCACCUGUAGUCCCAGCUACUCGGGAGGCGGAGGCAGGAGGAUCACUGGACACGGGAAUUCUGGGCCGCAGUGUGUUAUGCCCAUACAGUGUCUGCACAAAAUUCAACAUCAACCUCCCAGGAACAGGGGACCAUCAGGUUGUCUAAGGAGGGGUAGACCAGGCCAGGUCAGAAAUGUGGGAAGUCAAAACUCCCACGCUGACCAGCAGUGGCAUCAUGUCUGUGAAUAGCCAUGGUAAUAAGCCUGGGCAGUAUAGUGAGACCUUGUCUCUU
rfam:Otolemur garnettii contig042078, whole genome shotgun sequence.